rnacentral:rRNA from 1 species
CCUACGGGUGGCUGCAGUGGGGAAUAUUGCACAAUGGGGGAAACCCUGAUGCAGCGACGCCGCGUGAGUGAAGAAGUAAUUCGUUAUGUAAAGCUCUAUCAGCAGGGAAGAAAAUGACGGUACCUGAGUAAGAAGCCCCGGCUAACUACGUGCCAGCAGCCGCGGUAAUACGUAGGGGGCAAGCGUUAUCCGGAUUUACUGGGUGUAAAGGGAGCGUAGACGGCAGUGCAAGUCUGGAGUGAAAGGCGGGGGCUCAACCCCCGGACUGCUCUUGAAACUGGACGGCUGGAGGGGAGGAGAGGUAAGUGGAAUGCCUAGGGUAGCGGGGAAAUGCGUAGAUAUUAAGAAGAAACCC